GACAGAGGGUGCAAACGUUGUUCGGAAUUACUGGGCGUAAAGCGCGUGUAGGCUGCCUCGAAAGUCAGGUGUGAAAGCCCUGGGCUCAACCCAGGAAGUGCACUUGAAACUUCGAGGCUCGAGUUCUGGAGAGGAUAGCGGAAUUCUCGGUGUAGAGGUGAAAUUCGUAGAUAUCGAGAGGAACACCGGUGGCGAAGGCGGCUAUCUGGGACAGUGACUGACGCUGAAGACGCGAAAGCGUGGGGGAGCAAAACAGG
rnacentral:rRNA from 1 species